rnacentral:rRNA from 1 species
AUGUCCAGAGCGGGAGGCAAGUGGAUGGUCUCCUCCGUCACGGAUGGACACAUCAAAAGACUAAGGAAGGCCUGCUACUUGUCUAACGACGUUGCGCACCGGCUUCCUGAAGAGGGGCAGCUCAUCCCCACCCCUAGGCCCCAUGAGAGGGUGGUGUUCCUCCCCCAUUUUCUCCGCGGACUGGGCUUCCCUCUUCACCCAUUUGUCCGGGGGCUCAUGUUCUACUAUGGCCUGGAUUUCCACGAUCUGGCCCCGAACUUUGUCCUCAACAUCUCGGCGUUUAUAGUCGUGUGCGAGGCUUUCCUCUGCAUCCGCCCCCAUUUCUGCCUAUGGCUCAAGACUUUCAAUGUCAAGCUGAAGGUGGUGCGCGGCAACCAGGCGGAGUGCGGAGGCGCCAUGGUGGGCAAGAUGCCCAACGUCUUAUGGCUGGAGGGCUCCUUUGUGGAGACCCUGAAGGGGUGGCAAUCGGGGUGGUUUUACAUCACCGAGCCGCGCGACCCUGAAUGGGUCGCAGCCCCCGAGUUCCGACCCGGACCCCCUACACGGCUCACCUCCUGGAAGGAGACGGGCCCGUCAUGGGGUAAAAAAGGAGAGCUGGCCGGACUCCAAACAUGCGUCCAAACCCUGGUGGACAAGAAGCUCAAACUCGUCAACGUAGUCCAGGUUAUGCUCAUCCGCCGGAUCCUCCCGUGUCAACAACGGGCUUUCAACAUGUGGGAGUUCGACCCGGCGCGGCACCGAACUCUGAGCAGGCUCUUUGACACGAUGUACGAAGAUGCCUGGAAGGUGCUUUUCAAGGGCGCUGAGGCCCCCGCAUCCGCUACCAAGGAUCGCGGAUUCAGUACGCAGCGUCACGCUCAGUUUUUCAUAGUUUGA